ACACCCCUCUGAACGUGACGGUGCAGCAGCCCUGGGCGGUGCCGGAGGGCGGGGCCACGAAGCUGCGUUGCCUUAGCGACGGCUACCCCCCGCCGAGCCGCUACUGGUGGACCAGCGAGGGGGAGGAGCUGCUGCACGUGGGGCCGCACUACCUGUGGCCCAACGUCUCCCGCCACUCGGGUCGCCUCUACUGCAGCGUCCACCACACCCUGGGCAGCAUCCAGUCCGGCCUGUUCCAGCUCAACGUCACCUACCCCCCGGAGGUGACCGCGGCCUCCGCCUGCUCCACCUCCCCCCUGAGGGUGAGCUGUGAGUGUGUGGUGGAGGCCAACCCCCCGGCCGCGGUGCAACUGUCCCGGCCCGUCGGCG
ensembl:lncRNA